rnacentral:misc_RNA from 1 species
GAUUAACACAGUUCUUAUUCAUCGCAAUAUAUACACCAUCUUACCACAGAUAAGACAGUAUCUCUCUUAUUACUCAGCCUUAAAUAAACCUAACGUUGCCUUGGCUAGUUGAACUACAAGGCAGACUGAAAUAUCAUCUCAGCAAGCUCCUGCUUCCCUGAGGCUACAGAUGGCUCGCCCAAUUCGAUCGCCUUCUUCUCAAGAGUCUCAAAAUCAGCCUUACCAGCCUCAACUAGAGCCCCAAAUUCUGAAUCAAAACUUUCGUAGCGCUUCCGCACAAGCUCAGCAAGAGAGCCAUCCUCAAUCAACUUGGCAGCAUUUCGUAGUCCGCGGGCCAGGGUGUCCAUUCCAGAAAUGUGAGCAAUGAACAAGUCUUCGACAUCAGUGCUCUCUCUCCGCAGCUUCGCAUCGAAGUUGAAGCCACCCGGAGCAAGUCCACCAUUCCUAACCACACUUAGCAUAACCAAAGUUGCCUCUCCUAGAUCCGUGAGAAACUGGUCAGUGUCCCAGCCAACUUGGGGGUCACCAGUGUUCGCAUCGAUAUUCCCAAGUAUACCAUUUAUUCUCGCAGUUUCAAGUUCAUGAUGGCAGCUAUGUCCAGAUAGAGUAGCAUGGUUGCACUCGAUAUUCAGUUUAAAUUCCCCUAGAAGACCAUACUUCUGCAGAAAUGCAAAUGAAGUUGCAGCAUCCCAGUCAUACUGGUGU